rnacentral:rRNA from 1 species
UACGUAGGGGGCAAGCGUUGUCCGGAUUUAUUGGGCGUAAAGAGCGUGUAGGCGGCUUUGCAAGUCCGUUGUGAAAACUCGAGGCUCAACCUCGAGACGCCGGUGGAAACUGCAAAGCUAGAGUCCGGAAGGGGAGAGUGGAAGUUACCUGGUGGUAGCGGUGAAAUGCGCAGAUAUCAGGAGGAACACCCGUGGCGAAGGCGGCUCUCUGGGACGGUACUGACGCUGAGGAGCGAAAGCGUGGGGAGCGAACAGG